rnacentral:tRNA from 3 species
UGGGGUAGUAGGGUAGCCUGGUCCAUCCUAGAGCGUUUGGGACGCUUUGACGGCAGUUCGAAUCUGCCCUACCCCAU